CCUACGGGUGGCAGCAGUGGGGAAUAUUGGACAAUGGGGGGAACCCUGAUCCAGCCAUGCCGCGUGUGUGAAGAAGGCCCUCGGGUUGUAAAGCACUUUCAGUGAGGAAGAACGCCUGGUGGUUGAUACCCAUCAGGAAAGACAUCACUCACAGAAGAAGCACCGGCUAACUCCGUGCCAGCAGCCGCAGGUAAUACGGAGGGUGCGAGCGUUAAUCGGAAUUACUGGGCGUAAAGCGCGCGUAGGUGGCUUGAUAAGCCGGUUGUGAAAGCCCCGGGCUCAACCUGGGAACGGCAUCCGGAACUGUCAAGCUAGAGUGCAGGAGAGGAAGGUAGAAUUCCCGGUGUAGCGGUGAAAUGCGUAGAGAUCGGGAGGAAUACCAGUGGCGAAGGCGGCCUUCUGGACUGACACUGACACUGAGGUGCGAAAGCGUGGGUAGCAAACAGGAUUAGAUACCCUGGUAGUC
rnacentral:rRNA from 1 species